rnacentral:rRNA from 1 species
GUCCACGCUGUAAACGAUGACGACUAGGUGUGGGGGUUCAGUCCCCUCCGUGCCGCAGCUAACGCAUUAAGUCGUCCGCCUGGGGAGUACGGCCGCAAGGUUGAAACUCAAAGGAAUUGACGGGGCCCGCACAAGCGGUGGAGCAUGUGGUUCAAUUUCGAUGCAGAGCGAAGAACCUUACCUGGGCUUGACAUGCAGGAAGUGAAACCGGAAACGGCAACGACCUGUUAAGUCAGGAACCUGCACAGGUGUGCAUGGCUGUCGU